rnacentral:rRNA from 1 species
AUGGCGGACGCCCCGCCGAGUUCCGGCGGCCUGGCCGUCGACCCGCCCGCAAAGGUGAAGAAGAAGGCACCAAGGAAGCCGCAGUCGGAGUGCACGCCGGAGGAGAUCGCCAAGUUGGACGCGGAAUCGGCGAAGAGGAGGAAACGGAGAGCGGUCGUCAAGGUCAAUGCCGCCGCGGCCAAGUUUGCCGCCCAGCGCGAGGAGCUGGAGGCCGUGCGGCGCAAGGCCUCUGCCGACGAGAAGGAGGACCUCCUCAACAAAGCGCACGCCAUCCUCAUGCUUGGCAUGGGCCGUCCGGCCGGGUUCCCUACAGCGGCCGCCGGCCCCGCGAGCACAGGCUCGUCGGUCGCCCGGCCUCCGCAUUGCCAGUCGCCGACGUCGCGGACCGCGCCCAUGUCGCCCGGCUUUACUCCAUCAAGGCACGACGGCCAGACCCGUUUCUCGGGGUCACCGGACGUGGGCUUGUUCGCGCCGUCCACACCGCGUCACGCGGCCAUCAUCGACCUCAACGUCACGCCUGGGUCCAACAGUGGCGGUCGGGCAUCCGUCGAGAUGCAAAGAAAGCAAGCACGGGCACCGUUCACGGGCACCAUGCCGGCCCCCGCGUCUUGUUUGACGGAAUGCCAACGGUCGACGACCCCUUCUACAACCAGUACAUUAAGGACAUGA